GAGAAAUGUAGUGUGAUCCUGAUAGGUCUGAGGGUACAUGUGAAGGUUUGUUAUACAGGUAAACUCAUGUCACAAGGGUUUGUUGUAGAAAUUAUUUUACCAACCAGGUAUUAAGCGUAAUAGCUAAUAGUUAUUUUUUCUGCUCCUCUCCCUCCUCUGCCCUCAAGUAGACCCCAGGGUCUGUUGUUACCUUCUUUGUGUUCAUAAGUUCUCAUCACUUAGCUCCCACUUAUAAGUGAGAGCAUGCAGUAUUUGUCUUUCUGUUCCCGUAUUAGUUUGCUAAGGAUAAUAGCUUCCAGCUCCACCCAUGUUCCUACAGAAGACAUAAUAUUGUUCUUUUUCACAGCUGCAUAGUAUCAUUCAUCACUUUUCAAGUGCUCAGUAGUCACAUGCAUAUAAUGGCUUACUUGCUGGAAAGUGUGGUUCUAGAUAUUAACAUAUAUACCACUUACGUAUCACAAUCCACCUUCAAAUAAUGCUGUGCCACUUCACAUCAAACUUCAAACAUCACUUCACUGUCUCCCCCUCCAUUUUUAAGCUAUUACUUUUAUGUAUUUAUGCUACAUGCUGAUAUAUUAUAAACCCCUAAUACAUUUUUAUUGUUUUUCCAUGAACAGUUAAUUACAUUUUAAGGAUAUUUUUACAUGAGCAAAAUAUAUUUUAUGUUUACCCACAUAGUGACCAUUUCUGGGUUUUGUUCAUUGCUUUGUACGAAUCCAAAUUUCCUUCUAGUAUCAUUUUUCUUUGAUCUGAAUAACUUCCUUUAAAAUUU
rnacentral:lncRNA from 1 species